UCCAAGCGAGCACAUCCCAUCUGAUUCCAGCUUUUCUGAAUGUGUUUCUGUUCUUUCUUCAUUCUCUGGUUCCCGCAGGCAUGUCAACUCUCAGAUAUGUAGACGUGACAACUCCCUAUCUCUUUAUUUAUGAUAUCUUAAGGAACUCAGUCCAAAGACCUACCAAGUAGUAGACACUUGAAUUACAGUCCAAGGAAUUCUCUGGAGUGAUUAAGAAAUGGUAUUCUAAAAGAAGUCUGGGACUCCAGCUGAUUUCUUUGGCUGGCCUCCAUCUGAAUUGUUCUGCUGUGUGCCACGAGUCCGCGUGAAGCUGUCAGCUAGCCUUCCCUCAGAAGAUGUGGCAGGAGAAAGCUGAGAGGCAGUGGAAUGUGGACACGGGGGACAAGGAGAUGGUCGACAUAGGGGCUGUCAUCCUGGACGCAGACCCAUGAAGCCCUUCUGAAGCCAACUGAAGGAUCUCCAACUGCCCUCCACACCCACUCUCCCUUCCUGGACCAGUGAUUUAUUGCUCCAGUCUGAGAGUUACUGAAUGUCUUUAAUGAGCCCAACGAUCUGGGGCUGUGCUUGGAGCAGUCCCUAACCACAACUAUUCUUAGAGGGGGGAAAAUACCAGAAAACUAAGACCCUAGAAGAGUGAGCAACCUUAAUAGAAGAACAGUGGGCGUUUAAAUAAAAGGAGGCAGGCCAGCAUUCCUGGUCAUCUAUAAAUUAAAACAAACAAAGGAAAAUCACAUCCAACUGCAGUCAAUUGCUCCUGUAAGAGAAGGAGUGUAAUUCAAAGAGGUUUAUGUGUUUUGGCAGCCGCUCGAGUAUGCGGGGGAGUUUAAGAGCAUAGAAUAACACGACCAGGAACCAGCUCCAGUGCUUGGGCAGCUUAGGCGUCCUCGCUCCAUCCAGCUAAUAAUGCACCUUGAGCCAAUUUUCUUUCUCCUUCCUUCUUUAUCCCCAUUUGAUCCCUCCCAUAACUGAGGCACCAAGGGUCACCCAA